AUUGAACGCUGGCGGAAUGCUUUACACAUGCAAGUCGAACGGCAGCACGGACUUCGGUCUAGUGGCGAGUGGCGAACGGGUGAGUAAUGUAUCGGAACGUGCCCAGUCGUGGGGGAUAACGUAGUGAAAAUUACGCUAAUACCGCAUACGAUCUAUGGAUGAAAGCGGGGGAUCGCAAGACCUCGCGCGAUUGGAGCGGCCGAUAUCAGAUUAGGUAGUUGGUGGGGUAAAGGCCCACCAAGCCAACGAUCUGUAGCUGGUCUGAGAGGACGACCAGCCACACUGGAACUGAGACACGGUCCAGACUCCUACGGGAGGCAGCAGUGGGGAAUUUUGGACAAUGGGCGAAAGCCUGAUCCAGCCAUUCCGCGUGCAGGAUGAAGGCCCUCAGGUUGUAAACUGCUUUUGUACAGAACGAAAAGGUUUCUACUAAUACUAGGAGCUCAUGACGGUACUGUAAGAAUAAGCACCGGCUAACUACGUGCCAGCAGCCGCCGUAA
rnacentral:rRNA from 1 species